rnacentral:rRNA from 1 species
CCAGCAGCCGCGGUAACUCCAGCUCCAAUAGCGUAUAUUAAAGUUGCUGCAGUUAAAAAGCUCGUAGUUGGAUCUCGGUAUUAUUGUUGCCUGCUGGCUUUAGAGGCACUAGCUGGCCUAGCGGUGCAUGGGUGAGCCUGUGCAGCGUGGGGUCGGCGGCCUUGGGUCGGCGUGGCGGCGGUGAUACCUUUCAGCCAUGUCUGUGGUGCAAUAUCCACAGGUGUAGGCGAGUGCCAGGCGGUGCCCUGCAACUGUGGGGUUCGUCGGCUUGUCUGCAUGCCUACGGAUGCCCAUUAAAAGGUGUCUGUGGGCGGACGGCACGUUUACUUUGAACAAAUUUGAGUGCUCAAACCAGGCCGAUGCUGCCUGAAAAGUUUUGCAUGGAAUAAUGGAAUAGGACUUCGGUUCUAUUUCGUUGGUUUUCGGAUCCGAAGUAAUGAUCAAAAGAGACAGGCGGGG